AACGCAUAUUGCGCCCUCUGGCAUUCCGGAGGGCACACCUGUUCGAGCGCCGUCGCAACACUGAGGCUCAGCCUUGUGUUGGUGGAUGACAUUAGAGUCACCGCCCAAACUUAGACGGCGUCGCCCCGUGGCCGACGAUGCGCAAAAGCAAAAGUCAGUCGCGAGAGGUGGCAGCCUUGUAUAUCACAUCAAGCUUGGCCUCGAAUCAGGUGGGGAUACCCGCUGAACUUAA
rnacentral:misc_RNA from 1 species